rnacentral:lncRNA from 1 species
ACUCUUUGAGAUGGUCCUGUCUCUUUUGCUGCAAUGUUGCUUUGUUGUUUAGUAUUGGGAAUAGUAUUUAUAUCCUUUAAUUAAAUCGUUGUUUCUCUAAUCUGGAAGUAAUUUAUUGCCACAUCUGCAUGGUUGGGGAAGUUGAAGAUGCAUGCUUUUUAAAUUAAAAUUCUAACCUUAAAGCUAUGACCUCACAACAACCAGAUGUAAGGUUUACUUGUAGCCAGUACAAGCACUAAGUUGGAUGUCAGCGGAGGAAGUCAGGCAUAAUGCAGAACUGGCGCUACUCUCAAAAGAGCUUGCAUUUCACCAAGAACCAACAGAGAUGUGGGGAAGGGGAUUGGAUGGAAAGGCAGCUGCUCUGUAGCCUUCUCUGUAGCUAGAAUUUCGGAGUUAAUGUGUAACGGUGCUGGGCAUGAUGAGGUGCAUGGUGAGCUUCGUCCCACAGGAUAGUGCAAGAUUCUACAGAGUUUGCAGCUCAAGAGCAAUCCAUUGAAGUAGAGAUUAUAAAUCAAAAUGUUGUAAAACCGAAUAUUCAGUUAAAACAGUGAAGAGAGAUGUAAAGCAAGAGGCAAAGCCUGUCUGUUUUUUUGCAGCACCAAGGCUUAAGUAUCCAUCCGUAUCUUUUUUUCUUUUUUUUUCUUUCUCAGAAAUCCGUCUGCCUCUGCCUCCCAAGUGCUGGGAUUAAAGAUGUGUGCCACCACUGCUCAGCCUGUCCGUAUCUUUUAGCAUGUACUGUCGCAAGCACCGUCUACACAUAUUUCUCCCUUCCCAGUGAUAGUGCUAACAGAAUUAUGUGGUGUGCACUGACCCAUGACUUGAUAGUUUUUAUUUGGAUUUUUUUCAUGUUUGCCCUUCAUUCUUUCCCUCACAUAUCAGCUAUGUAUUGGAGGUGUACGGACCUGUCCUUCACCGGUAGGUUUAUUUGUUAUUUACCUGAUAUUUGUUGAUGAACAUAUAGGCUGUUUCUAGCUUUCAGAGGGAAUGUCUGUGUCCGCCCUUGUCAGUGGGUGUCCUAUGCCCCAUAGGACAACAUAACUCAGUUCUUUCAGGAUUAUGUACAGUGCCUGCAAGUCCUGGCAGUGACCAUUUUGGUAGAUAAAGCAUAGGAAAUUGUCUUUUAAAAAUAUUAGUGAACAUCACCCCUAACAUUGUGUGAGGUUCUGGGAUUGGUGUUUUGUUUUGUUUUUUUCACUUUGACAACAGCCUGUCUUCUCAGUUUUGGGUUAUCUAAAAGGGAGAAAAUGGUAUGUGUGUAUAUUUAACAUUUUUGAAGUUAUAUACCUAAAUAUCCUUUUACCUUUGUUAGCAAAAGUCUUUGUUUAAUUUUUGCCCCAGAUAAACACUUCUACCUAAUCAUUUAGGACACAUUAUACUUUAAAAUACUCUUAAGAAAUGUCAGAAGAGAAACCAUUUUGGGGAGGGGUAACCCCCCUAUGUAGGGGGCCUGGGCUGUGGACUUGAUUUCAUUUGAAAGUGUCUCAGGGCUGCUGGAGUCUGCAUCACUCUACUGACGUUUGUUGAGUUGUCUAGAAACCCACAGGCUAAGCCUAGCACCCAGGAAAGCUGAACUCCAGCUUUGUCCUUUAUGGCUUCCUCAUGCGGGAACCUUGAGUCUGGUAGACAGCAGAGCCAUUUCAUUGUGUGACAUGUUUUUUACAUGCGCAAAUAUGCAUGGAAGUGUGUUGUAGCAUUUGACUUCCUCUGAGACUCUCCCAAGGGGAACAGUGGUUCUCAAACAGUUGAGAACUAUGCGUACAGGCACAAGUUUGCCCUUGAACACGAAGAGAAUCCUGAGGUAGGGAAAUCCUAUGUGUCCUGCCCCUGUCUCAGAGUGCCAGGCUGAUGGAAUGAUUGGCACACCCCCUUUAUGCUCUGUGCCUGU